rnacentral:rRNA from 1 species
UUUUCCUACGGGACGCAGCAGUGGGGAAUAUUGGGCAAUGGGCGCAAGCCUGACCCAGCAACGCCGCGUGAAGGAAGAAGGCUUUCGGGUUGUAAACUUCUUUUGUCAGGGACGAAGCAAGUGACGGUACCUGACGAAUAAGCCACGGCUAACUACGUGCCAGCAGCCGCGGUAAUACGUAGGUGGCAAGCGUUAUCCGGAUUUACUGGGUGUAAAGGGAGCGUAGGCGGUUUAGCAAGUCAGAAGUGAAAGCCCGGGGCUCAACUCCGGGACUGCUUUUGAAACUGUUGAACUAGA